GACGAACGCUGGCGGCGUGCUUAACACAUGCAAGUCGAACGGAAAGGCCCUGCUUUUGUGGGGUGCUCGAGUGGCGAGCGGGUGAGUAACACGUGAGUAACCUGCCCUUGACUUUGGGAUAACUUCAGGAAACUGGGGCUAAUACCGGAUAGGAGCUCCUGCUGCAUGGUGGGGGUUGGAAAGUUUCGGCGGUUGGGGAUGGACUCGCGGCUUAUCAGCUUGUUGGUGGGGUAGUGGCUUACCAAGGCUUUGACGGGUAGCCGGCCUGAGAGGGUGACCGGCCACAUUGGGACUGAGAUACGGCCCAGACUCCUACGGGAGGCAGCAGUGGGGAAUAUUGCACAAUGGGCGGAAGCCUGAUGCAGCAACGCCGCGUGCGGGAUGACGGCCUUCGGGUUGUAAACCGCUUUCGCCUGUGACGAAGCGUGAGUGACGGUAAUGGGUAAAGAAGCACCGGCUAACUACGUGCCAGCAGCCGCGGUGAUACGUAGGGUGCGAGCGUUGUCCGGAUUUAUUGGGCGUAAAGGGCUCGUAGGUGGUUGAUCGCGUCGGAAGUGUAAUCUUGGGGCUUAACCCUGAGCGUGCUUUCGAUACGGGUUGACUUGAGGAAGGUAGGGGAGAAUGGAAUUCCUGGUGGAGCGGUGGAAUGCGCAGAUAUCAGGAGGAACACCAGUGGCGAAGGCGGUUCUCUGGGCCUUUCCUGACGCUGAGGAGCGAAAGCGUGGGGAGCGAACAGGCUUAGAUACCCUGGUAGUCCACGCUGUAAACGGUGGGUACUAGGUGUGGGGUCCAUUCCACGGGUUCCGUGCCGUAGCUAACGCUUUAAGUACCCCGCCUGGGGAGUACGGCCGCAAGGCUAAAACUCAAAGGAAUUGACGGGGCCCCGCACAAGCGGCGGAGCAUGCGGAUUAAUUCGAUGCAACGCGUAGAACCUUACCUGGGUUUGACAUGGAUCGGGAGUGCUCAGAGAUGGGUGUGCCUCUUUUGGGGUCGGUUCACAGGUGGUGCAUGGCUGUCGUCAGCUCGUGUCGUGAGAUGUUGGGUUAAGUCCCGCAACGAGCGCAACCCUUGUUCACUGUUGCCAGCACGUUAUGGUGGGGACUCAGUGGAGACCGCCGGGGUCAACUCGGAGGAAGGUGGGGAUGACGUCAAGUCAUCAUGCCCCUUAUGUCCAGGGCUUCACGCAUGCUACAAUGGCUGGUACAGAGAGUGGCGAGCCUGUGAGGGUGAGCGAAUCUCGGAAAGCCGGUCUCAGUUCGGAUUGGGGUCUGCAACUCGACCUCAUGAAGUCGGAGUCGCUAGUAAUCGCAGAUCAGCAACGCUGCGGUGAAUGCGUUCCCGGG
rnacentral:rRNA from 1 species